UGGAUAGGAUAGGGUUUGGAUAAUGUUUUGGAUAAGGUUUCUUCACUUGAGCUGAUUCUUUGGCUUCAAUUUCCCUUCUUCAAGUAGGAAACCUUGUUUGAGUAGGAAACUUCAAUCUUCUAGGAAUCCAUCUUCAACUAGGAUUUCAUCUUCAAUUAAGCACUUUCCCACUUCAAUUAGGAAUCUUUGUAUCUUCAAUUCUUCAAAUUCGUCCAUCCCUUGUGCUUCAUGUGCAUGAACUCCAUUCUAGCCUAAUUUUGCUCCAAAAUGCUCCAAAUUGCAUCCUUUUGCUCACUUUGUCUCUAAAACCUGAAAACACAUGAAAAUAGCUUAAAAGACUAUUUUAACUAAGAAAACACAACAUAAAUGCAUAAGAACUAGCUAACUAAGGCGCAUAAAUAUGCUCCUAUCACCACCCCUCAUACCAUUCAAAAACACAUUGUGCCGCACCCUAUACACCAUUCUACAUCACUCUCCACCACCAUACAUCAUUGCCGCAGCCCCCAUCCAACCUAAACCUAUUUCUGACUCUUGUGCAGCAGCAAGGUGGGGAAGAAGAAGGCCCUUGGCGUUUCAUGCUUGCAGAUUGGAGCGUUUUAGGUGUACUUCGUUCUUGUUUUCAAUGUUUAUUUUGUUAUUACUUUCUGAUUUUGCUGUAAUCAUGAGUGGCUAAACCCCUAAUUAGUUAGGGGGAAGUUUGAAGCCAUGAACAUGCUUGAGAUAUGAAUUGAUUUCUUCCAAUUGUGAUUUGUUAAGUUGUGAUUGCAAUUCAAUUAUCUAUUUUAUUCAUAACUGAUUCUUGUAUGUUUAUUGAGGAUGCAUACUUAGUUUUUAUGCAUGAAUUAGACGCUAGAAAAUAAAUGAGUUUUGAUGCGUAAAUUAACUUAACACACAAAUUAAACCCUCUUGUUGACAAUUGUAGUAUGGAUAAGUAGGGAUCGUUCUGGACCGGGGAUUAGGAGGGAUUGCUAAUCGAUGUGAGAAAUAAGUUAACACACAAAAUUAAACCCUAUUUUUAUCAAUUGUAGCAAAGUAUGUAAAUAGGGAUCGUUCUAGACCGGGGAUUAGGAGGGAUUGCUAAACACUUGAAAACUGACUUAGAAAUGUAAAAACAAAGUUUAAAGCACUAGAUUAGACUCAAAGAAUGCAAAACUCACGUUUAAAAUACUAAAACAAACCAAAAAUUCAAAACAGCAAUCAAAAGAUUCAAAACUGCCUUAAAAACACUUUCUGGGCAGUUUUGAACACAAAGCAUCAAAUUGGACGAAUUUGGGUUUUAACUUGUACCAAAACACUUAAAAACAUAAACCAACACACUUUCCAAUUAAUCUAGGAAUUCAAAAUAAUUGGGGAUUUGAUUUGGACGAAAAUAAACUUAUAUGGCAGAUUGUAAGAGAAACAGAUUGUAAUACAAAGUUAUGAAGAAUCAAUGGAUGAUGGAAUGGAUAAGGGGUUCUUCUCCACACAUGAAAUAUAUGCAACGUAAAUCAAUUUCCAGUUAUCAAUUCAAUAAGUUAUGAA
rnacentral:lncRNA from 1 species